GAUGAACGCUGGCGGCGUGCCUAACACAUGCAAGUCGAACGGAGAUUACGGACGGAAGUUUUCGGAUGGAAGCCUGUAAUUCUUAGUGGCGGACGGGUGAGUAACGCGUGGGCAACCUGCCCUAUACAGGGGGAUAGCAGCUGGAAACGGCUGGUAAGACCGCAUAAGUCGGUUAAAUCGCAUGAUUUGAUCGGGAAAUGAGCAAUCAGGUAUAGGAUGGGCCCGCGUCCGAUUAGCCAGUUGGCAGGGUAAAAGCCUACCAAAGCGACGAUCGGUAGCCGGACUGAGAGGUCGGACGGCCACAUUGGGACUGAGACACGGCCCAAACUCCUACGGGAGGCAGCAGUGGGGGAUAUUGCACAAUGGAGGAAACUCUGAUGCAGCGACGCCGCGUGAGUGAAGAAGUAUUUCGGGAUGUAAAGCUCUAUCAGCAGGGAAGAUGAUGACGGUACCUGACUAAGAAGCCCCGGCUAACUACGUG
rnacentral:rRNA from 1 species